CCUACGGGUGGCAGCAGUGGGGAAUAUUGGACAAUGGGGGAAACCCUGAUCCAGCGACGCCGCGUGAGUGAAGAAGUGUUUCGGUACGUAAAGCUCUAUCAGCAGGAAAGAAAAUGACGGUACCUGACUAAGAAGCCCCGGCUAACUACGUGCCAGCAGCCGCGGAAAUACGUAGGGGGCAAGCGUUAUCCGGAUUUACUGGGUGUAAAGGGAGCGUAGACGGCAGCGCAGGUCUGGAGUGAAUUGCCGGGGCCCAACCCCGAAACUGCUCUGGAAACUGUGAAGCUGGGGUGCAGGAGAGGUGAGCGGAAUUCCUGGUGUGGCGGUGAAAUGAGUGGAUAUCAAGAGGAACACCAGCGGCAAAGGAGGCUUACAGGACUGUAACUGACGUUGAGGCUCGAAGGCGUGGGGAGCAAACAGGAUUAGAUACCCUGUAGUC
rnacentral:rRNA from 1 species